CUGAAUAUUUCGCUUAAUUUUCUUGAUAGAAAAGCGGGGGAACCAAUGGUUUCAACGGGGUGAGUAAGGUCCGUUCUUAUGCGACCUUUAGGGCAGAUUUCUCGCGGCCCGAACCCGACAGCUAACCUCGUAAGCGAUCGUGAGAAAGGAG
rnacentral:sRNA from 1 species